ACCCGACCGCUUCCUAGUCUGCCCGCCUGUGCCUACCGAGUUCCAAUUCGUAAGGUCAAGAGAUCCCAAAAAUAAUAAACGUUUUGCCGUAAGCCGUCACUAACCGGCGACGCGGCAUAACAAGUGUAAGAACUCGUUCGGUCCGCGUUCAAGCCUUUCCAGACCUGUAUUCACGACCGUGCUGCCGGGGCACGAAGCUCUCGGGGCACGCGCUCCGCCUAACCGACCUGCGGCGAGCCACUGAACAAGCCGGAAAGAAGAGAAAAAGGAAGCGAGUUCAAAUUCCUUUUGACGACGUGCGUUAGAUCGAUCUACGAUUAACACAGAAGGUUCUCAUCGCUGAAAUGGAUUUUCUUUCGCUCGGCGCGAUUAUUUUCGGUUGCGCAGUGAUACUGUUCGCAAUGAGAAGAUACUUUUCACCUCGAGGGACGAAGUUGCCGAAGUUACCGGAAACCUGGUGGACGCCCGGCACCGAGAGCUCUGCCAACAAUGAUAUCAGACCGUUCAAAGUUACCUUCACCGAAGAGGUAUGCAAAUUAGACAAGUUUAGAUUGUAUUAUUUGUCGUAAAUGCCGCACACUAUUUUUAUUUGAAAUAAAAUAUACCCAAUUUACCUAUAGACAUUGGAGAGAAAAGUAGAUGAUAAAUACGAAUAUAAGCGGCUAUGAAUGAUUAACACGAUUUGGAAGUCAGAUGGAGGAAUUCAAUUCAU